rfam:Lupinus angustifolius cultivar Tanjil chromosome LG12, whole genome shotgun sequence.
AUACCUUUCUCGGCCUUUUGGCUAAGAUCAAGUGUAGUAUCUGUUCUUAUCAGUUUAAUAUCUGAUAUGUGGGCCAUUGGCCCACACGAUAUUAAAUUUAUUUUUUGAGGGGGAGAGCCAUAUCAAUAGCUUGCUGUUGGGCUCCUCAAGCGUCGCCUAUGCCUUGCACUAUAGCAUGGGCUGGCACACCCCAC